rnacentral:rRNA from 1 species
CUACGGGGUGCACCAGUGGGGAAUAUUGCACAAUGGGCGCAAGCCUGAUGCAGCCAUGCCGCGUGUAUGAAGAAGGCCUUCGGGUUGUAAAGUACUUUCAGCGGGGAGGAAGGGAGUAAAGUUAAUACCUUUGCUCAUUGACGUUACCCGCAGAAGAAGCACCGGCUAACUCCGUGCCAGCAGCCGCGGUAAUACGGGAGGUGCAAGCGUUAAUCGGAAUUACUGGGCGUAAAGCGCACGCAGGCGGUUUGUUAAGUCAGAUGUGAAAUCCCCGGGCUCAACCUGGGAACUGCAUCUGAUACUGGCAAGCUUGAGUCUCGUAGAGGGGGGUAGAAUUCCAGGUGUAGCGGUGAAAUGCGUAGAGAUCUGGAGGAAUACCGGUGGCGAAGGCGGCCCCCUGGACGAAGACUGACGCUCAGGUGCGAAAGCGUGGGGAGCAAACAGGAUUAGAUACCCGGGUAGUC